rnacentral:tRNA from 1 species
GGGGCUGUAGCUCAGCUGGGAGAGCGCGUGAAUGGCAUUCACGAGGCCAGGAGUUCGAUCCUCCUCAGCUCCA